rnacentral:misc_RNA from 1 species
GCCACAUCCAUCUCUUGGACAAAUACUAAAUUCCAAUUCCUGAAAGAUCAAAUUCCUUAUUCAAUGUACCAUUAACAUGUAGUCCUAAUUUAAAAGCUAAUGUAAGGAAGAAAAAUAAAGAAAGGUUUUUCUUUUUGACGAGAUGGUCAUUCUGAAGGAAAUAAAUUGCCAAGCAAAGUGCAUAUGCAUGUAGCUAGUGAAAAAGCUGAAAAAAAGAGAAUGCAUCUUUCUAAGCUUGUUCCUUUCCUUGUCUUUCUUCUUCUACCUCUGCUCAUCAUAUGUGGAAACAGUGCUGAUGAUCCCAUUUUGCCUCCGGAGGAAGUGAAUUCUCUGAAGGCAGUCAUAUCUGAGCUGGGGUUAGUGCCUGCACCAUACAUAUGGACCUAUUAUUGCACAGGGAGUUCACGCCGUGGCUAUAGUAUUAACAUCAGAUGCAACUGUAGUUAUGAUAACAGCAAGACUUGCCACAUUACCAGCAUAGUUACGGAUGUGAUAGACUUGAGUGGUGGAACUAUCCAUAGAAAUAUCUCUCAACUCAGGUUUCUGGAGAAACUAGAUCUUGGAAGCAAUCAACUAUCUGGUUCCAUACCUGAUACCUUGGGAGAUCUUAAGCAUUUAAUAACGCUCAAUCUGUACAAGAACUUACUUACAGGCGGCAUACCUCCAUCACUGGGGAAAUUGUCGUCGCUCAGAACUCUUGCACUGUAUAGGAAUAGAUUGUCAGAUCCAAUUCCUGAAGCACUUGGGGAGCUUUCUAAUCUUGAGACCUUGAGAUUGGAACAGAAUCAACUCGCUGGUGUUAUUCCACUGCAACUAGGAAGCUUGCGGAAACUUAAACAACUGAGGUUGGAUGAGAAUGAACUGAUUGGCACUCUUCCACCACAACUUGGAGGCUUGAGCAACCUUCUACAGCUUGAUGCAAGUUCCAACAAUCUUAGUGGUGUUUUGCCAGAUAACUUUAAGAAUCUCAAGUCUCUCGACUUCUUUGCUGUAUCUGGGAACAACUUAACGGGUCCAAUUCCCAAUUUUAUAGCAGAAAAAUGGACCAGACUCACGAGCCUGUUUCUCACUGGAAAUGAAUUUGAAGGACCACUGCCUGAUAAAAUUUUUAGUAUGUCAAAUCUUCAAUAUUUGUUGGUUAGUGACCUCAAAAACACUGGUUUCUCUUUCUCUUUCCCGACAAAUGCAAAAAUGCCAAACAUAUAUUACCUGGUAUUGAGAAAUUGCUCAAUUACUGGUCAAAUUCCAAAAUACAUUGGUGAAUGGUCAUCAUUGCGGUACCUCGACUUAAGCUUUAACAACUUAACCGGUGAGAUUCCAGAAUCGUUGAGGGAUCUACAUUUGAAUAAAAUGUUUCUUACAAGGAACAUGCUUGAUGGAAUACUGCCUGGCUGGAUUUCCAAAAUUGCUAAACUGGACUUGUCAUAUAACAAUUUUACAAAUCAUUCCAUAGAAAAAAUUUCAAUGCAAGAGCUAAACAUUAAACCAAACGGGAAUUAUAUACAUGAAAUAAGAGAUGAUCAAUGCUCUCACAAAUCAAAGUAUCAUUCCUUGUUUAUAAAUUGUGGAGGUCCAAAGUUGCUUUUUGAAGGAAAUCUAUAUGAUGGUGAUAAUGCCACAUCAAACUUUUUUGAAGAUCCAGAAGGAAAGUGGGUUUAUACAUGUUUUGGUGAUUUUUGGUCAACAACCAGCAAUUCAAGUGAUUACAUUAAAAACAUGACAUGUGGAAUUUCUGAGAAAUCUCUAUAUAAAACAGCUCGCCUUUGCCCUGUUGCUUUGACAUAUUAUGCCUUUUGUUUACAUCAAGGCAAAUAUGAUGUGACACUUCACUUUGCUGAAACUGUUUAUGCAAAGGAAGAAGACUAUAGUAGCCACGGUAAACGUGUUUUCGAUGUAUAUAUUCAGGGGGAGAGACAGCUAAAGGAUUUUAACAUAAAAGAAAGGAUUGGGGGUCCAAAUGUAGAAUUAUCUGUGGUGUUGCCAGCACAUGUAAAAGACAAUUUAUUACAGAUACAUCUGUAUUGGGCCGGCAAAGGAUCUCUAUACAAUCCACCUGCUCUUAAUGGACCUCUUUUGUCAGCCAUUUCUGUGAUUCCAAGUAACCCUCCCAGUCCCAGGAAGAAAUUAACUCCUGGGCAAAUAGCAGGGAUUACACUGGGCUCUGUUUUCACGCCCUUGGUUCUAUUGGCUUUCCUCUGGAGAUGGCUGCGAAACAAGGAGUUGGACGAAAUAAUAAAAAUAAAUGUUCAAGGCAAAGUUGUCACCGUCACUCUCAGGCAGGUCAUAAAUGCUACUGGAAAUUUUAACCGCAAGGCGAGGAUUAGUGAUCAUGAAGGACGUUUUGGAGAAGUAUACGAGGUCAAAUUUCUCUUAUUUCUUGGUAUUUUUAGGGAAAAAAAAAUCUCUCCUUCCAAUUUCUAAUGAAACAAACAUAUAGUAUUAUUUUAAUUUUUUGUGGAUGUAGGCUGAGUUGAGAUAUCCGCAAAUUAAAUUAGCGGUGAAAAGGAUAUUUGCAAAAUUGGAUACGACACAUAAGGUUGAAAUGCAAAAGGAAAUCUUCAACUCGACAACCUGUAGGCAUGAAAAUCUUGUUCAGUUACUGCAUUGCUACUCUAAAGAAGGCCUGCAUCUGCUAAUAUAUGAAUACAUGGAAAAAGGCUCGCUUCAUAAAUCCUUGUUUGGUAAUUACAUUUUUUUCUUACAAUAAUAAAUAAAUGGGAAAAUAAAAAUAUUUAUAUAUCUCAAAGAAAGAGUACUGCAUGCAUGGUAUGAGUCGUUUUUGUUAUAUAUAUAUAUAGUCAUUUUUAAGUUGACGAUUACUUGCUUGGAUUUGCAGAAUCUGACACAGAACUAGACUUGAAGGCUAGAUUAAAUAUCUGCCUGGGAAUAGCAAAAGGUUUGAAGUACCUACAUGAAGAGAACAAAUUCAAAGUUGUCCAUGGGAAUGUGACAACCAAAAAUAUCUUGCUUGAUAUAAAUGACAGCUAAAUUAUCAGAUUUUGGGCUGGCUAUGCUUUAAGAGGAUGAGCCAUUCUUGAAACUGAAAAAAAGAGUGGACGAUCUGUAAGUAGCAAUACAUUCUUGAAAUUUAUACAGCCGCAAGUGGUUUCCUUCUACUUGUUUUUAUUAAAGACUAAUUCUUGAACUCACACCAAACAGUAGUCUCCUUGGUUAGAAGGUACUUAAACAUUGAGCGUAAGUUUUAAUUAAUUAAAUUUUGGUAAAAAAUAGAUGGCCCUAUAGGGCUAGAUCAGAUCAUUUUGAGCAUGAAUUAUGGCUCACUCUAAGUAAAAUAAUGUUAAAUUCUUUAAAGAAAAAUAAUUUCCAAUUUAAUAUUUAUUCAAGAUAUGAGUUGAUCAAAUUAAAUUUAAGCUGACAUAUAGUCCUUGGAUUGAUCUCUAUUGAACUUUUAAAUUUGUGAGUUAAAAAAAAAUUUUCACUUUUAAAAAUUGAACUUUUGAAAAACUUAUCACAAUUUGAGUUGGGUAAUAUUAAAAUUUGAUCACUUUUAGUUUAUGCUGAAUUGGAUUAGAAUUUGUCACCCUAUUUUAUGCUUGAAGUCAAAUGAACUUUGCAUGAGAAGGUGCGCUAAAUAUAUUAUUAAACUAUUUAACUAUGAUUAUCAACCUUAUCACAACUUGAUUUUAAUUUAGGCUAAUCAUGAAUCUUUUAUUACAGAGUUACUAUGGCACCUGAGAGUGCAUAUGAGCCCAUAGCAAUUGAAGCUGAUGUUUAUAGUUUUGGGCAUGUCAUGCUUCAGCUUGUCACUAGGAAACAAAGUGUAGAAUAUAAACAAGAAAAGCUUGAAACUUUAAUGACUACUGCUGAUUCUUACAAUAAAGAGGGGAGGAUUUUAGACUUGGUCGAUAAAAAGUUGCGGAAUUCAAAUAAUGAUGAUCAAGCCAAGAAAAUUUUAGAGUUGGCCUUGGAUUGCUUGAACAUCUUUCCUAAAAGAAGGCCUACAAUGUCUAAAAUUAUUGAUAAAAUUAAAGAAGCCAUGAAUUGCUUGAACACCAUUCCAGAAGGUGGGCCUACAACGUCUGAAAUUGUUGGUGAACCUAAAGAAACCAUUAAAACGAAGGAGAAAAAAUCCAUACAAGAAAGCAGUUCCAUGGUUGAUUCUUAACAUCCCUAAGCAAAUUUGGAGGUUGUUUUGUGCGUAUUUGUGUGCAUAAUCCAGUGUGUAUAUCCUUUAUAUUGUUUGUAAUUAGAUGUGAGCAAUAUUCUGAAAACUUAUUAAUGUGUCUGUGAAUAUAUUAGUGAUUUGGCAAUGUGGUAAUUAACCUAUUUACCUAUAUAAUUUGUUGCACAUAGGGCUGAGUAGUUUUAGGUAUGAAUCGAAAAAUCAAAUCAAAUCGAA